CUUGCUAGACUGAUGGCGAGUGGCGAACGGGUGAGUAACGCGUAGGAAUAUACCUUAAAGAGGGGGACAACUUGGGGAAACUCAAGCUAAUACCGCAUAAGCUCUUAGGAGGAAAGCUGGGGACCUUAGGGCCUGGCGCUUUAAGAUUAGCCUGCGUCCGAUUAGCUAGUUGGUGGGGUAAGGGCCUACCAAGGCGACGAUCGGUAGCUGGUCUGAGAGGAUGACCAGCCACACUGGAACUGAGACACGGUCCAGACUCCUACGGGAGGCAGCAGUGGGGAAUAUUGGACAAUGGGGGGAACCCUGAUCCAGCAAUGCCGCGUGUGUGAAGAAGGCCUGAGGGUUGUAAAGCACUUUCGGUGGGGAGGAGGGCUUAUAGGUUAAGAGCUAAUGAGUUGGACGAUACCCACAGAAGAAGCACCGGCUAACUCCGUGCCAGCAGCCGCGGUAAUACGGAGGGUGCGAGCGUUAAUCGGAAUUACUGGGCGUAAAGGGUGCGUAGGUUGUUGAUUAAGUUAUCUGUGAAAUACCUGGGCUCAACCUGGGCAGGUCAGAUGAUACUGAUUGACUCGAGUAUAGGAGAGGGUAGUGGAAUUUCCGGUGUAGCGGUGAAAUGCGUAGAGAUCGGAAGGAACACCAGUGGCGAAGGCGGCUACCUGGCCUAAUACUGACACUGAGGCACGAAAGCGUGGGGAGCAAACAGGAUUAGAUACCCUGGUAGUCCACGCUGUAAACGAUGUCAACUAGCUGUUGGAUAUAUGAAUAUAUUUAGUGGCGCAGCAAACGCGAAUAAGUGACCGCCUG
rnacentral:rRNA from 1 species